rnacentral:rRNA from 1 species
UGUUGGUAUCUUAGUGGCGGACGGGUGAGUAACGCGUGGGUAACCUGCCUUACACUGGGGGAUAACACUUAGAAAUAGGUGCUAAUACCGCAUAACAGGGAAAGAUGCAUGUCUUUUCCUUAAAAACUCCGGUGGUGUAAGAUGGACCCGCGUCUGAUUAGCUUGUUGGCGGGGUAACGGCCCACCAAGGCGACGAUCAGUAGCCGGCCUGAGAGGGUGAACGGCCACAUUGGGACUGAGACACGGCCCAAACUCCUACGGGAGGCAGCAG